rnacentral:rRNA from 1 species
GACAGAGGGUGCAAACGUUGUUCGGAAUUACUGGGCGUAAAGCGCGUGUAGGCUGCUUAGAAAGUCGGAUGUGAAAGCCCUGGGCUCAACCUAGGAAGUGCAUUCGAAACUUCUGAGCUGGAGUGCUUGGAGAGGAAGGCGGAAUUCUCGGUGUAGGAGGUAGAAAUUCGUAGAUAGUCGAGAGGAACACCGGUGGCGAAGGCGGCCUUGCUGGACAGUAACUGACGCUGGAGACGCGAAAGCGUGGGGAGCAAACAGGAUAGAUA